rnacentral:rRNA from 1 species
GCAGCAGUGGGGAAUAUUGGGCAAUGGGGGAAACCCUGACCCAGCAACGCCGCGUGAAGGAAGAAGGCUUUCGGGUUGUAAACUUCUGUCCUAGGGGAAAAACACAAUGAUGGUACCCUAGAAGAAAACCCCGGCAAACUACGUGCCAGCAGCCGCGGUGAUACGUAGGGGGUAAGCGUUGUCCGGAAUGACUGGGCGUAAAGGGAGUGUAGGCGGUUUAUUAAGUUGAAUGUGAAAGCCUGGAGCUUAACUCCAGAACUGCAUUCAAAACUGGUAGACUUGAGUGUCGGAGAGGCAAGCGGAAUUCCUAGUGUAGCGGUGAAAUGCGUAGAUAUUAGGAGGAACACCAGUGGCGAAGGCGGCUUGCUGGACGAUAACUGACGCUGAGGCGCGAAAGCGUGGGGAGCAAACAGGAUUAGAUACCC